GGUUGUAAAGCUCUUUCGUCGGGGAAGAAAAUGACUGUACCCGAAUAAGAAGGUCCGGCUAACUUCGUGCCAGCAGCCGCGGUAAUACGAAGGGACCUAGCGUAGUUCGGAAUUACUGGGCUUAAAGAGUUCGUAGGUGGUUAAAAAAGUUGGUGGUGAAAGCCCAGAGCUUAACUCUGGAAUGGCCAUCAAAACUUUUUAGCUAGAGUAUGAUAGAGGAAAGCAGAAUUUCUAGUGUAGAGGUGAAAUUCGUAGAUAUUAGAAAGAAUACCGAUUGCGAAGGCAGCUUUCUGGAUCAUUACUGACACUGAGGAACGAAAGCAUGGGUAGCGAAGAGGAUUAGAUACCCUCGUAGUCCAUGCCGUAAACGAUGUGUGUUAGAUGUUGGAAAUUUAUUUUCAGUAUCGCAGCGAAAGCAAUAAACACACCGCCUGGGGAGUACGACCGCAAGGUUAAAACUCAAAUGAAUUGACGGGGACCCGCACAAGUAGUGGAGCAUGUGGUUUAAUUCGAAGAUACGCGCAGAACCUUACCAACACUUGACAUGUUCGUCGCGACUCUAAGAGAUUAGAGUUUUCGGUUCGGCCGGACGAAACACAGGUGCUGCAUGGCUGUCGUCAGCUCGUGUCGUGAGAUGUUGGGUUAAGUCCCGCAACGAGCGCAACCCUUACUUUUAGUUGCUACCAUUUAGUUGGGCACUCUGAAAGAACUGCCAGUGAUAAGCUG
rnacentral:rRNA from 1 species